rnacentral:piRNA from 1 species
GGGAAGACAAAUGAAAUACCACUAUC